UGACUGGUCCUAUUUUAUUAUUUUUUUUUUUUGUUGAUAUUUAGUGCCUGUUUAUCAGGAAGUGACGAUUUUGUUCUCUUUGACUCAUUAGAUGGAAAUGGUGCUUUAUUCGCAAAUGUUUUAUGCAAUAUACCAGUUUUGUGCAUAAGCUAACUUAGUAUCUUUGGAUGGAAACAUAGCUACAGUGACUUGUGUAUGAUUUACAAAUAUGUAAGUAAAACUGUGAAAUUAUGGUAUUAUGUAUCAGUAGUUUAUAAUAAAAAAAUCAGUUUUCUGUUAUGUAUUUUGAUUUAUGAGGCUGGUUAAUUAGCAUGAGCGUAUAUCACUAGCCACAAGAGAUGAGUAAAACAAUUUUAUUUUAUUUUUACACGUUAACUGUUCACAUUAAUUAAAGAAAUUAAUGUCAACAUUCCUAGCUUUAAUACUUAAAUAUAAUGUUAUUUUGCCCUCUUAAUAAGCUUUAAUAAAGUCUAUUUUAAAACAAUUUUGCAACUGAAGCUUGCCAGGCUACUCAUAACUAGCUUCUCUAACCCUCCACAUGGCUUAUCAGGUCAAAUUCUCAACUAUCUGAGCCAAGACUUGACGCCCUGUUUAAUACUUUCUGCAUCCAUGCAUGUCCUGUGUCUACACUUGAUAUAGGAGCGCAAAGAUCCCCAAACCCCCCUCCUCCCCUUUACAGGAGACUGUGAGAACAUGUCCGAUGAAGAAACCCAAGGCUACAGAUUUCACACCCUUACAGGAACUCUGUUAUGACAACCCUUUCCCCAUCCCUCUGCUGUACUCGCACUACCUGUUAAGGAAGUCAGAGGUGGAGAACCACAUCUGAAGGACUCUGAGCUGCCAGACGUGUGAAUCGUAAGUUACUACUUGUUCUCUUCUGUUACUCUCUUCUGUCUUCUGCAAAAAUUCUUUAGAAACUAUUGUAGUAUGUUGAUUAGAACCCAACCGAUAUAUAAUUUAGCCAAUAUUAUUGGCCGAUAUGAGCCUGUCACUGAUAUAUCGGUAUUUGAUUAUCACAUUACAAUGGUUCUAAUUCUUAGUUUUGCAUGACAAUAUGAUGAAUGGAUGGUUCAUUUUUAACAGCAGAUUCAGUGAUGUUAGAGACUAGAGCUGAUCUGCGCAUAUAUAAAAUGUUGUGGAAAGUCAAAUUGUGAAACUCGUGUAUUAAAUAAAUUCAGUGCACACAGACUGAAGUGGUUGUCAAUGAUUGUCUUCUGGACAACUGGCAGAUCAGUUGUCCAGAAGACGAUCAUUGAAAGUGAAAGUGAAAGU
rnacentral:lncRNA from 1 species